rnacentral:lncRNA from 9 species
ACUUUUUUUUUUUUUUUUUUUUUUUUUUUGUCUUUUUAGGGCCAUGCCCAAGACAUAUGGAAAUUCCCAGGCUAGGGGUCGAAUUGGAGCUACCGCUGCCGGCCUAUGCCAUAGCCACAGCAACCCUUGAUCCGAGCCAUGUCUGCAACCUACGCCACCUUGCAUCAACGCAGGAUCCUUAACCCACUGAGAAAGGCAAAGGAUUUUACCUGCAUCCUCAUGGAUACUAGUCAGGUUCUUAACCCUCUGAGCCACAACAGAACUCUCCAGAAGAACAUAUUUUGAGACUUUCUUACCUUCACCUAUAAACAAUGUCAUAUCUGAGUAAUGAAUUUGUGGGUUACAAUUCCUCCAACUUUAAGUUUUAUAUAUUUAGUUACUAUGUCCCUUUGUCUUUUGGAAUUUAAUGCUGUAGAAGCCUAAUCUUUUGUUUCUUUGAAGAUGACAUUUUUGGGAGUUUUGUCCCCAAGGUUUAUCUAAUCUGGUUGUAAUUCCUUGGGGAUGUUUUGCAUAAAAUAUGCUGUGCUCUCUUCAUAGUAAGAUAUGCAAUCUUGGGGGCUUCCUGUUCAUCAUUUUCAUCUAACUGCUUUCAAGGAGUGGUUUCCAAAGACUUCUAUUUCAUUGAUUUUUCUGCAAUUAUUAUUUAUUUUACAGUCUUCAAUGAACAUUUGAAUUUCGCUCUUAUGAUUUAGGUUCCCAUGUAGUCUCUUCUAACCCAUCCUGAUUCUUUUCUCAACUCAGCAACAGCCUCUUACAUCUUAUAGGCACCACACAGUGGUUAUGGAAGGAGAACUUUUGUUUCCUGCAAUCUAUCUGAAAGAAAGAUUUUUGCCUGCAUGUGCUCGGGUACUAGAUUUUCCCACAGAACUCUCACCAUAUUUUUGAACCAUAUCUAAAGAAAGAGAAACAUACCUGAGCCCAGGACUGGAAAGUACAAAUGUAUCCAUUACCCCCACCAUGCACAGUCCUCCUGAGAGCUAGAAUCCCUGGCAGCCAGUGGAUUGCUGGUUUCCUUUCUGAAAUGCAAGCACAUUUGAAUCUCCCCCGCCAAAAGGGUUGCCCCUGUUCCCGAGAAAGACUCCAAGUCGAGGCUGUGGUUCACCAGAUAAGGCAGCAGACAGAAGCAGUAUUAAAGUUUGCUUCUAACGAGUUUUCUCCUUCCUUCAACUAUUAAAAAUAGUCCCUUCACACAGCAUAAUAAAAAUCAAAUGUAUAAUUUUCAGACAAUAGAAACAUAAAGAAAUGAAAAUCAUCCACAAUGCCACCACCAGCAUUAAUUCUUUCAUUGACUUACCCAUCUUAUGUACUAUGCCAGUUCCUGAAAAAGAAUCAUAAGAGAAAAGAUCUCUUUCCCCUUGGGACUUGAAAUUUAGAGGAAGAAGAGAACAUUUAUUAGUCACACAAUGAGUAUAAAAUUGCACCCAUGAAAGUAUUCCAAGGAGAAAGAUAAGGGCCCAUGGAAGCAGAUAGUCACCCAUUUUCUAGUGUCAGAGGCCGGGGGCUCCCUGGGAAAGUGGCAGCGAGCUGAGCAGCAUCUCCUUCGCCUUCAGCAUGUGUAGUUAGAUGCUUCAUCUCAUCCCUAGUGUGUUCAUUUUUUUUCCUUUAAAAAAUCUUGAAUAGCUUCGACAUUUUCAAAGAACCCGAUUGUAAAUUACUCGAUCCAUUCAUUCUGCUUUUCUCUGCUGGCAAGAUUCCAAGCCCUCAAUGCCAGGCUUUAAAGACCCUCAGGUUAGCUGGGUUUAUCCUGCUGCUUAGACCCACCCCUCAUGUCACUGGGCGGUUCUGCGGCUCAUACCAGCUCUAGCCCCACUGGUGUGGUUCUUACUGGAGGUGGGUGGGUUCUAAAGAAUGGUUGGUGGGAUUAUAACUCUUGCUUCCUAAUAGCAUCCCAAAGUGGCACUGCUGGAUGCUUCUGCCAGGGCAGAGCCUGCCUCCCCUUCUCCCUCCUCUAAUUUCUGAGCUGGGAAGAAAUUGUGUUAUAGGUUGAAUUAUUUUAUCUUUUAUAGAAGUAAAAUUUUACUUCAGCAUUAACGGCCGCCCCCUCUCACUUAGUCCCUUCUGCGUUGUCUUUAGGGCACAUUCCUCCUAAAUGUUUUCAUACUGAUAAUUCUCAUUGGCAGUUUGUGGUUUGAAAACCCCCUGGCUGAACCGUCAGCCCCAUGAAGACCUGGGCUCCAGAGCUCUCUCCUGUGCCUGGAAUAUCAGAGGCUGGCAUCAGAGAAGAAAGGGUGUGUUCUAUUUAUAUGUUUCUAUGGAUUUUUUUCUUUUCUUUCUAGGGCUGCACCUGCAGGAUAUGAAAGUUCCCAGUAUUUUUGUAAAAUCUUGAUUUAUUAUAAAAUGAAAAGAGCUUGAUUAAUGAUCACAACUACAUAAAAAAAUAUGCACUAGGGACAGAAAAGAAAUACAUCAAAAUGUUAGCAGGAAUAAUAUUUAGGCAAUAUUACUUUGGGGGGAAUUUUAUUCUUUCCUCUACUUUUCUGUAUUUUCUAAACUUUCUAGAGUGCACAAUUACAUUUUGACAAUGGUUAAAUUAUCGAUUUGUAUAGUCAUAGAUGAAAAGAGACUAUGUUUAGAAAUUUUUUCUUCUAUUUUUUUAAGCUGCAGGUUAUUUUAGUUCCCAGGCCAGGGACUGAAUCUGAGCCACAGCUGCAACCUACACAGCAGCUGUGGCAAUGCCAGAUCCCUCAACCCCCUGCGCCACCAUGUCAGGGAUUGAACCUCUACCUCCACAGCAAUCAGAGCUGCAACAGUUGGUUGAAUUCUUAUCCCACUGCGUCAUGGUGGAGACUCCUAGAAAUUAUUUUCCACACAAUAUUUGAGUUUAAAAACUGAAAUAUUGUCACAAAUAAUGAACAAGUGGAAAAACACUAACAAGUCAAAAUCUGAAAUCGGAUCAAAUCUGAAAUUUUGAAAAAAUUUGAAAGAACACGAACAAAUCAAAAAUCUGAAUUUUUCUUAAGCCAAGUUACAGAGAAGCAAUUAAGCCAGUGGAGACUCAUGAAGAGUCGAGGUAAGAAGACGAAAGCCACAGUGACACCAUAACUAGGAAGAAGCAAAGUCAAGAAGUACUUGAAGCAAAAUGAUCCAAAAACAGAUGUACCAUUUAGUCUGGGUAAGUUUCAAGGGUUGGACUUUCAGUCAAAACCAAGCUUGGACAUGCUCACCAGACGCCUGGCUUAACCCCGACCUCCACCGUGGGCCUCUUAAUACCACCAUCCGCUUCAACAAAACGCAAUUAUGGACAUGAUGUGAAUAAAAAGACCACUUCAUCAUACCUUAAGAAGGCAAAAUAAACUCAGUUCUACUACUGCCAUUAUUAUUAGCUUUACCUAAAUUCUUACUCAAAACUCUUAAUUCUGUCAUGCCCUUAUAUACUAUAUGCAGUGGAUGUUCCUUGUUUUGCACACCACCCCCUCUUCCUGCCCCCACCCAUUUCCUCUUCCUCAGAGCAGUCUGAAUUUCCUUCCAAGCCUUCCACAAUCCUCAGCUAUGAGCUUUGGGUGAUAACGCCACAUCCAAAGGAUGCCCUGUGGAAAGAAAUUUAAUUAUAGUCGAUGGCGAGGUUUCUAGGGCUUUUGGAAAAGACAUGUUCUCUUAGCCUGUCCUUGCCUUGAUGGAGGGUCUGAGGAUCUAAGUGUGGAAUCUCAGAGGGUUCUGUACAGAGUCUGAGGGCAAAACUAACACUGGAAAAGGCAGAGUACAGAGGAGUCCUCGCUGACCCCGUGACUCAAGCAAGACUAGUUGAAAGUCAGGGCUACCACUCGGCUUUCUUUUUUUAAGUCACUUUUAAGUCAGGUUUCUGUCAGAUGUAUCUUAAAUUUCUGAUUACUAUAGAAAUAAAACACUUUCUUACCUGAGCAAGCUUACUCUCCAGUGACAACUAUACAAGUACCUUCUUGUAAAGAAAUGUGUUCACUUUGUGAUCAUUUGCAGGCAGCACACUUAUGCUCUAUACACCCUACCAUAUGGAUGGCAUUCCUUGAUUAAGAAGAAAUGCUGCUGGAGUUCCCGUUGUGGCACAGUGGAAACGAAUCCAAGUAGGAACCAUGAGGUUGUGGGUUCGAUCCCUAGCCUUGCUCAGUGGGUUAAGCAUCUGGUGUUGCCAUGAGCUGUGGUGUAGGUCAAAAACGCGGCUCAGAUUUCGAGUUGCUGUGGCUGUGGUGUAGGCUGGCGGCUACAACUCCGAUUAGACCCCUAGCCCAGGAACCUCCACAUGCCCCGGGUGUGGCCC